AUUGAACGCUGGCGGCAUGCCUUACACAUGCAAGUCGAACGGCAGCACGGGAGCUUGCUCCUGGUGGCGAGUGGCGAACGGGUGAGUAAUGCAUCGGAACGUGCCCUGAAGUGGGGGAUAACGUAGCGAAAGUUACGCUAAUACCGCAUAUUCUGUGAGCAGGAAAGCAGGGGAUCUUCGGACUUUGCGCUUUUGGAGCGGCCGAUGUCGGAUUAGCUAGUUGGUGGGGUAAAGGCCACCAAGGCGACGAUCCGUAGCGGGUCUGAGAGGAUGAUCCGCCACACUGGAACUGAGACACGGUCCAGACUCCUACGGGAGGCAGCAGUGGGGAAUUUUGGACAAUGGGCGCAAGCCUGAUCCAGCCAUGCCGCGUGAGUGAAGAAGGCC
rnacentral:rRNA from 1 species